AUUGCAUAGGGUCAAGAGCAUGAACUGUAUUAGCACACUGUCUGGGUUUGAAUUUCAGCUCCAUUGUGAACUGACUCUCUGGACUUGGGCAAGUUAUUUAAGCUCUCUACUUCUUAGUUUCCUCAUGUAUAUAAUAUUGAUAAGAAAGUUAGCUUUGUUCUACUGAAGAGAUGUAAAAUACUUAGAAGAGAGCCCGGUAUAUGGGCACUUAAACUACAAGGUGGUAAAUGCUAAGAUAGAGGAGGAUAUAAUAUGCCACAGAAGCUCAGGGGAGGAAUACUGAAAGCAAACAGAGAAGAUUUCUUUCAAGAAGGGAUAGCCUGAAACUCACCAUAAUGCUCAAGAAGCCCUUGACCAACCUCUCUUCAUUCUUCCCCGACAGUCUCUGGUUAACCACUGUUCCACUCUGCUUCUAUGAUACCA
rnacentral:lncRNA from 1 species